UCGAUUUCCAAAUUUUUCUGCCUCAUGUAAAUGUAAACAACUUGGAAAAAUUAAUAAUCUAUCAGCUACUUGUCUAGAGAAUGUGAAGGAUGCAGCAGUUUUCUCUGAACAAAAAACCUUUUAGACCGAGUCUGUUUGAAAAUUUUCAAGUUUUGAAUGGCACAAAUUCAGAGCCUUCUGAGGUGAUUUGAUUUUCAUAGUUUUCAUCUGAUAACGUGGUGUUAUCAUAAGUCAAAUAAUUAUCCUUUCUUUGAAGGAGGCUAUUCUUGGGCUCUUCGUCAGGAGGGAUGUCAAGGAAAUGCUGUACAGAAAAGAACGCGCCUUUCGCGAGAUGUACAAACUUGGGAGAUAAAUGUAUUUCUUCAGAUUUAAAGCAAGACUUAAAUGAUUAAUGGAUGGGACGGAGAUCUGCAUAAUCAGAGAUGGCCAAUUGUGGUCGUAGCUAAUGACAGUGGUGUUAAACGUUUGAGAAUUUAUCUUGCGAAACUCCGGCCAUUUAUACCCUUGGCUCUAUCAAUUUUGGUAAUUCUCACCGCAACGGAUCACCCCCGAGUCGCCUGUUAUAUAUAAAACCACAAUGGAAAAAUCGACCGACCGAAUCGUGGCAAACAGUGCCUGUUGGAUCAUCUCGAUCUGUGUCACACACUGACAACUAAAGCUUACGAACGGAAACACACACGAGACAGCUGAUAGACACGAGUUACCUGCACACGACAUGGUGAAUCAUGCACAAAAGCCGCCUACUCAUACUGAACCAAUCGCGAUACAAUUAGGUUCUUCAAGAAGGAUAACAAAAAAAGAAUAACACGGGGAAAACAUGAUUCGAAGGAAAUAGAA